GACCAAUCCUUUUUGAAAAAAAAACAUUAUCUCCGAACAUUGAUGGUGACAGAUAUUAAUGCUUGUUUUCCUUAUCUCUAUGGACUACGAGUUUGGCUUUCUUGUCACAUUA